GGCUCAGUUGGUAGAGCAUGGUGUUUGCAACGCCAGGGUUGUGGGUUCGAUUCCCAC
rfam:Salmo salar isolate Sally breed double haploid chromosome ssa13, whole genome shotgun sequence.